CCUACGGGAGGCAGCAGUGGGGAAUAUUGCACAAUGGGGGAAACCCUGAUGCAGCGACGCCGCGUGAGCGAUGAAGUAUUUCGGUAUGUAAAGCUCUAUCAGCAGGGAAGAAAAUGACGGUACCUGACUAAGAAGCCCCGGCUAACUACGUGCCAGCAGCCGCGGUAAUACGUAGGGGGCAAGCGUUAUCCGGAUUUACUGGGUGUAAAGGGAGCGUAGACGGCGGUGCAAGCCAGAUGUGAAAGCCCGGGGCUCAACCCCGGGACUGCAUUUGGAACUGUGCUGCUAGAGUGUCGGAGAGGCAGGCGGAAUUCCUAGUGUAGCGGUGAAAUGCGUAGAUAUCACGAAGAACCCCGAUUGCGAAGGCAGCCUGCCGCAGCGUUACUGACGCUGAAGCUCGAAAGCGCGGGUAUCGAACAGGAUUAGAUACCCUAGUAGUC
rnacentral:rRNA from 1 species